GGGGCCGUAUUUGGUUUCGACGGGGAUGCGGAGGGGCAGAGAAGCGAGCGGCGGCCCUGUACCGCCUGACAACGGGAAAAAACAAUAACUGACAAUACCAAUAACAUGGUUUUCGCCGCUUAAGCGGCGAUCGUCGACCCUGAGCGUCCUGCCGCGCAGGUCAUCGACGUCAUAGUAGCAGGGAACCAGCUGCCUUAAGCUUUGCGGGCGGCCGGACUUUAUGAAGCUACUGAUGCCCGUAUCCCGUCUGUGGGAGGCGGGCGGAGGGAAUGUCAAUACGCAGACUGCGCUCGGAGAUGCUCUGUUUUUCUGGUCUUCGGACAGGGGUUCGACCCCCCUCGGCUCCAC
rnacentral:tmRNA from 1 species